UUCUUGGAGAGUUUGAUCCUGGCUCAGGACGAACGCUGGCGGCGUGCCUAAUACAUGCAAGUCGAGCGAACCAAUAGGAGCUUGCUCCUGUUGGUUAGCGGCGGACGGGUGAGUAACACGUGGGCAACCUGCCUGUAAGACUGAGAUAACCCCGGGAA
rnacentral:rRNA from 1 species